rnacentral:lncRNA from 1 species
CUGGCCAAGGAAUGGUGUGGGAAGUAGAGUUAUCUCCCAGAUUUCUUUUUUUUUCUUUUAAUUUUGUAAAUGUUUAUUUUUGAGAGAGAGACAGAGUGCGAGUGGGGGAGGGGCAGAGGGAGAGGGAGACACAGAAUCUGAAGCAGGCUUCAGGCUCUGAGGUGUCAGCACAGAGCCGGACUCGGGGCUCGAAUUCAAGAACUGCAGGAUAGGACCUGAGCCAAAGUCAGAAGCUUACCGACGGAGCCACCCAGGUGCCGCUGUCCCAGAUUUCUCAUCUGGCUUUGGACCCCGCACUCCCCCAAGCUCAGGACAUCCUAAAAGUGUCCUCUCUGGAACACCCAGGUGGGCAAAUGAUGAGAGAACCCUGGUGUCCCUGCAACACUGCUUGGCCUCUUCUAGAACCUUCAAGAGCCCAGAAUACAAGUUCCACUGUGAUCCGUUAAUGCAGGAAAGAAUUGUGUGGUUUGUUUAAGGAGAAGCAAACCCUCAGUGGAAACACACAUCUGCUGGGAUUUUGGAGAGAUUUUCUCUCAUCAACCUAGCAAGUCAGCAGUGGAAAACGCGUCUGUCCGUAGGUGGCAGAACCCAGACCUGGUCAUCGCACGGCCUGCAACCGCCCCGGCCUUCAGCCUCUGGACCUGCCCCCUCCCUCCGCCACCGGACCUCCGAGGAAACGUGGUCUCCACACACAACGGAGUAUAAUUCAGCCAUAAAAAGGAGGCAAGCCCUUCCGCAGGCGACAAUGUGGAUGAACCUGGAGGACAUUGUACUAAGUGACAUAAGGCAGACACAGAAAGACAAAUACGGCCCGAUUCCACAUAACGGGAGGCACUCAAAAUGGUCGGACGCAUGCAAACAGGAGGUGGGACGCUGGUUGCCCCGGGCCGGCAGGGAAAGGAAAAUGGGGAGUCACCGUUUAAUGCAUCUCAAGUUUAGGUUAUGCGAGGUUAAUAAGUUCUAGACAUCUGUGCGCUGCUGUGCGUAUAGCCAACAGCACGGUACGUGCUCUGAAAAAUCUGUUACAGGGUAUAGAUUUCACAUGAAGGGCUCUUACCACAAUAAUUAAAAAAAAAAAAAAAGAGGGGCACCUGGGUGGCUCAGCCCGUCAGGCUUCCAACGUUUGAUUUCCGCUCAGGUCGUGAUCUCACGGUUUGGUAGUUCGAGCCCCAUGUCGGGCUCUGCGCUGACAGCGCGGAACCUGCUUGGGAUUCUCCCUCCCUCCCUCCCUCUCUCUCUGCCCCUCCCCUGCUGUCUCUCUCACGCGCGCUCUCUUUCUCUCCCAAAAUAAAUAAAUAAACAUCAAAAAGAAAAGCUAAAUC